rnacentral:rRNA from 1 species
GUGUCAGCAGCCGCGGUAAUACGAAGGGGGCUAGCGUUGUUCGGAAUUACUGGGCGUAAAGGGCGCGUAGGCGGCCUUGUGAGUCGAGUGUGAAAGCCCUGGGCUUAACCCGGGAAGCGCGCUUGAUACUGCAGGGCUUGAGUGUGGGAGAGGUUGGUGGAAUUCCCAGUGUAGAGGUGAAAUUCGUAGAUAUUGGGAAGAACACCGGUGGCGAAGGCGACCAACUGGACCACAACUGACGCUGAGGCGCGAAAGCGUGGGGAGCAAACAGGAUUAGAUACCCGGGUAGUCC